rnacentral:rRNA from 1 species
UACGUAGGGGGCAAGCGUUAUCCGGAUUUACUGGGUGUAAAGGGAGCGUAGACGGCGAUGCAAGUCUGAAGUGAAAGGCGGGGGCCCAACCCCCGGACUGCUUUGGAAACUGUAUAGCUGGAGUGCAGGAGAGGUAAGUGGAAUUCCUAGUGUAGCGGUGGAAUGCGUAGAUAUAUGGAAGAACACCAGUAGCGAAGGCGGCUGUCUGGUCUGCAACUGACGCUGAGGCUCGAAAGCAUGGGUAGCGAACAGG